rnacentral:rRNA from 1 species
UACGGAGGGGGCGAGCGUUAUUCGGAAUUAUUGGGCGUAAAGAGCUCGUAGGCGGUCUGUCACGUCGGCUGUGAAAACCUGGGGCUCAACCCUGGACCUGCAGUGGGUACGGGCAGACUAGAGUGCGGUAGGGGAGAUCGGAAUUCCUGGUGUAGCGGUGAAAUGCGCAGAUAUCAGGAGGAACACCGGUGGCGAAGGCGGGUCUCUGGGCCGAUAUUGACGCUGAGGAGCGAAAGCGUGGGGAGCGAACAGG